rnacentral:rRNA from 1 species
CCUACGGGGGGCUGCAGUGGGGAAUAUUGGACAAUGGGGGGAACCCUGAUCCAGCCAUGCCGCGUGUGUGAAGAAGGCCCUCGGGUUGUAAAGCACUUUCAGUGAGGAAGAACGCCUGGUGGUUAAUACCCAUCAGGAAAGACAUCACUCACAGAAGAAGCACCGGCUAACUCCGUGCCAGCAGCCGCGGUAAUACGGAGGGUGCGAGCGUUAAUCGGAAUUACUGGGCGUAAAGCGCGCGUAGGUGGCUUGAUAAGCCGGUUGUGAAAGCCCCGGGCUCAACCUGGGAACGGCAUCCGGAACUGUCAAGCUAGAGUGCAGGAGAGGAAGGUAGAAUUCCCGGUGUAGCGGUGAAAUGCGUAGAGAUCGGGAGGAAUACCAGUGGCGAAGGCGGCCUUCUGGACUGACACUGACACUGAGGUGCGAAAGCGUGGGUAGCAAACAGGAUUAGAUACCCGGUAGUC